ACACGCAUGACACACUGCAUAUCAAUAAGCGGAGGAAAAGAAACUAACAAGGAUUCCCUUAGUAACGGCGAGUGAAGCGGGAAGAGCUCAAAUUUGAAAUCUUCAAGGUUCUACCUUGACGAAUUGUAGUUUAUAGAAGUGUUUUCUGUUAGUGGAGUGGCAAAAGUUCUUUGGAAUAGGACAUCAUAGAGGGUGAGAAUCCCGUAUUUGGUCAUUCCUCCUAGCGUUGUGAUACACUUUCAACGAGUCGGAUUGUUUGGGAAUGCAGUCCAAAAUGGGUGGUAAAUUUCAUCUAAAGCUAAAUAUUGGCGAGAGACCGAUAGCGAACAAGUACCGUGAGGGAAAGAUGAAAAGAACUUUGAAAAGAGAGUUAAACAGUACGUGAAAUUGUCAAGAGGGAAGCGUUUGACACCAGUGUUGUUUUUCCGAAAAUCAAUUACGAAUGUUUUGUUUUUAAGGAGUUAUGACUUCAUCGGCUUGCUCCUUUCUUUAUGAAACUUUCUUAAUGCACUUUUCGGUUAACAAGUCAACAUCAAUUUCUUUUGUUGUAAAAGGGUAUGAGGAAGGUGGCUUUCUUUUCGGAGAAAGUGUUUAUAGCCUUGUGCCUCUGCAAUCGGAGAGAUUGAGGUCUGCAGCGUAGAUCCUUCGGGGUUAGAUACGUUUGUGCUAAGUUAUAGCUUUUCAUAGACAACUUGUUGACUAUGUUUAGUCUUGUAGCUUACUCGCUGACGCUAUUUUACCUACGCUUAGGAUGUUGAGCGCAUGUCUCUCUCU
rnacentral:rRNA from 1 species